rnacentral:rRNA from 1 species
AGACCCGAAACCCGGUGAUCUAGCCAUGGGCAGGUUGAAGGUUGGGUAACACUAACUGGAGGACCGAACCGACUAAUGUUGAAAAAUUAGCGGAUGACCUGUGGCUGGGGGUGAAAGGCCAAUCAAACCGGGAGAUAGCUGGUUCUCCCCGAAAGCUAUUUAGGUAGCGCCUCGUGAAUUCAUCUCCGGGGGUAGAGCACUGUUUCGGCUAGGGGGCCAUCCCGGCUUACCAACCCGAUGCAAACUGCGAAUACCGGAGAAUGUUAUCACGGGAGACACACGGCGGGUGCUAACGUCCGUCGUGAAGAGGGAAACAACCCAGACCGCCAGCUAAGGUCCCAAAGUCAUGGUUAAGUGGGAAACGAUGUGGGAAGGCCCAGACAGCCAGGAUGUUGGCUUAGAAGCAGCCAUCAUUUAAAGAAAGCGUAAUAGCUCACUGGUCGAGUCGGCCUGCGCGGAAGAUGUAACGGGGCUAAACCAUGCACCGAAGCUGCGGCAGCGAACGUAUCACUUAAAGCGAUUCAGCGGAUGACGAUUGACGGAGCGAAGCGACGUCAAAGCGUAUACAAAGUCGAGUCGGUUUAAGGAUACGUUCGUUGGGUAGGGGAGCGUUCUGUAAGCCUGCGAAGGUGGCCUGUGAGGGUUGCUGGAGGUAUCAGAAGUGCGAAUGCUGACAUAAGUAACGAUAAAGCGGGUGAAAAGCCCGCUCGCCGGAAGACCAAGGGUUCCUGUCCAACGUUAAUCGGGGCAGGGUGAGUCGACCCCUAAGGCGAGGCCGAAAGGCGUAGUCGAUGGGAAACGGGUUAAUAUUCCCGUACUUGGUGUUACUGCGAAGGGGGGACGGAGAAGGCUAUGUUGGCCGGGCGACGGUUGUCCCGGUUUAAGCGUGUAGGUGUGUGUUCCAGGUAAAUCCGGUUCACUUUAACACUGAGGCGUGAUGACGAGGCACUACGGUGCUGAAGCAACAAAUGCCCUGCUUCCAGGAAAAGCCUCUAAGCAUCAGGUAACAUCAAAUCGUACCCCAAACCGACACAGGUGGUCAGGUAGAGAAUACCAAGGCGCUUGAGAGAACUCGGGUGAAGGAACUAGGCAAAAUGGUGCCGUAACUUCGGGAGAAGGCACGCUGACAUGUAGGUGAAGUGAUUUACUCAUGGAGCUGAAGUCAGUCGAAGAUACCAGCUGGCUGCAACUGUUUAUUAAAAACACAGCACUGUGCAAACACGAAAGUGGACGUAUACGGUGUGACGCCUGCCCGGUGCCGGAAGGUUAAUUGAUGGGGUCAGCGCAAGCGAAGCUCCUGAUCGAAGCCCCGGUAAACGGCGGCCGUAACUAUAACGGUCCUAAGGUAGCGAAAUUCCUUGUCGGGUAAGUUCCGACCUGCACGAAUGGCGUAAUGAUGGCCAGGCUGUCUCCACCCGAGACUCAGUGAAAUUGAACUCGCUGUGAAGAUGCAGUGUACCCGCGGCAAGACGGAAAGACCCCGUGAACCUUUACUAUAGCUUGACACUGAACAUUGAGCCUUGAUGUGUAGGAUAGGUGGGAGGCUUUGAAGUGUGGACGCCAGUCUGCAUGGAGCCGACCUUGAAAUACCACCCUUUAAUGUUUGAUGUUCUAACGUGGACCCGUAAUCCGGGUUGCGGACAGUGUCUGGUGGGUAGUUUGACUGGGGCGGUCUCCUCCUAAAGAGUAACGGAGGAGCACGAAGGUUGGCUAAUCCUGGUCGGACAUCAGGAGGUUAGUGCAAUGGCAUAAGCCAGCUUGACUGCGAGCGUGACGGCGCGAGCAGGUGCGAAAGCAGGUCAUAGUGAUCCGGUGGUUCUGAAUGGAAGGGCCAUCGCUCAACGGAUAAAAGGUACUCCGGGGAUAACAGGCUGAUACCGCCCAAGAGUUCAUAUCGACGGCGGUGUUUGGCACCUCGAUGUCGGCUCAUCACAUCCUGGGGCUGAAGUAGGUCCCAAGGGUAUGGCUGUUCGCCAUUUAAAGUGGUACGCGAGCUGGGUUUAGAACGUCGUGAGACAGUUCGGUCCCUAUCUGCCGUGGGCGCUGGAGAACUGAGGGGGGCUGCUCCUAGUACGAGAGGACCGGAGUGGACGCAUCACUGGUGUUCGGGUUGUCAUGCCAAUGGCACUGCCCGGUAGCUAAAUGCGGAAGAGAUAAGUGCUGAAAGCAUCUAAGCACGAAACUUGCCCCGA